UGGUUAUAAUCCUUGUUCAAUUGUAGUUAGCAUUAAACUAAGUUAGUUGCGUAAGUUUAGCUCUUAAGUCUAAUGACAUCAACUAAUGAGCAAAAAACAAAAAGAAAACAGUACACAGCCACAAAAUAGUCACGGGGAGAUCACAGUAAGCGUAACCGUGUUAUCCAACACAUUUUAGAAGUCCCAAGUCAGACGGCCGGACGUUGCGAGUAAACGAUACCAAACGAGGAUUCCGGCGUGUGACACAAAUAAGCGACACGAGUUCCAAACGGCUAGUUAAUAAGAUUAUAACCUUAUCUUAUUGCCCC